UUUAAAAACGACCCUUAGCCCCGCCCCAGGUGGUGAGGCUUCCGCCUCCGGCUCCUUUUAAAGGGGAACCCACUUCUGUAGGCCAAACCGCGACCUCCCAGCAGCUCUUUGCCUUUAAGGAGGUGGGACAUUGCGAUGAUCUCAUGUUAGCCCAGGUUGGCCUCAGACUCACUAUGGACUCGAGGCUAGCCUUAAAUUUCUGAUCCUCCCUUCUCCACCUCCCAAAAGCUGAGAUCACAGCAGGGGCUGACAUGAUCUUUUGCCAGAUGGACAGAAGCCCAGGUAUCAGACAGUUCUGUGGCAGAGCACGGUUGUCUCUGGGUUCAUGAUGGGAUCGAGAGCAUGCCGACUUCAGGUUGUGGAGAAAAGGUCAGCUGCUGCUGCCACCCAAUAAAGCUGAUGACUUGAGACCUUAUCUCAACACA